GACGAACGCUGGCGGCGUGCUUAACACAUGCAAGUCGAACGGAAAGGCCCCGCUUUUGUGGGGCGCUCGAGUGGCGAACGGGUGAGUAACACGUGAGUAACCUGCCCUUGACUUUGGGAUAACUUCAGGAAACCGGGGCUAAUACCGGAUAUGAGCUCCUGAUGCAUGGUGGGGGUUGGCAAGCUUCGGUGGUUGGGGCUGGACUCGCGGCUUAUCAGCUUGUUGGUGGGGUAGUGGCUUACCAAGGCUUUGACGGGUAGCCGGCCUGAGAAGGUGAACGGCGACAUUGGGACUGAGAUACGGACCAGACGCGAACGGUAGGCAGCAGUGGGAAGUAUGGCACAGUAGGCGGAAGCCUGAUGCGGCGGCGCCGCGUGCGGGAUGACGGCCUUCGGGUUGUAAACCGCUUUCGCCUGUGACGAGGCGUGAGUGACGGUAAUGGGUAAAGAAGCACCGGCUAACUACGUG
rnacentral:rRNA from 1 species